AACGAACGCUGGCGGCAGGCCUAAUACAUGCAAGUCGAACGAAGCCUUCGGGCUUAGUGGCGCACGGGUGCGUAACGCGUGGGAACGUACCCCUGGGUGCGGAACAACGUCGGGAAACUGACGCUAAUACCGCAUAAUGACUCCGGUCCAAAGAUUUAUCGCCCAGGGAUCGGCCCGCGUUAGAUUAGCUAGUUGGUGGGGUAAUGGCCUACCAAGGCUACGAUCUAUAGCUGGUCUGAGAGGAUGAUCAGCCACACUGGGUCUGAGACACGGCCCAAACUCCUACGGGAGGCAGCAGUGGCGAAUAUUGGACAAUGGGCGCAAGCCUGAUCCAGCCAUGCCGCGUGAGUGAUGAAGGUCUUAGGAUUGUAAAGCUCUUUCACCGGAGAAGAUAAUGACGGUAUCCGGAGAAGAAGCCCCGGCUAACUUCGUGCCAGCAGCCGCGGUAAUACGAAGGGGGCUAGCGUUGUUCGGAAUUACUGGGCGUAAAGCGCACGUAGGCGG
rnacentral:rRNA from 1 species